CGAGUCCCACCUCUUGGAAAAAUAUAUUCAUUUUGGUGAAAUCUAAGUGUUGAGUUCGCUCAUCACAAGACUAGAUUUCAUCCCUCAAGGAUUUUUU
rnacentral:sRNA from 1 species